GACAUACUUUAGGUAGGUAUUAAGUUCUACGUAUCACGGACAUUGGUGAUUAUUAGCAUGUUGUAAACAAACUAUUUUUCCUUGUCUUUUGUACACAAUAAGUAUCUUCUAAUUUUCUCUGUAUGUGGCAUUGUAGCUUUCGAAUGGAUGGACGGAAUUUGAAUGCGGCUGCUGAUGCGAGUCCUUGCAUUUUCCUCUUACUGCUCAUGUCCCGUUUCAACAAAAUUGCAAAUACAACAGCACCCACGACGAGAACGGACAAACUUCCCACGAGUGCAAGAAGAACUGGUAAUUGUAAGCCGAAGAGUUGUGGUUCUUGUAUAUCAGCGUGAUGAAUAAUAGCAUGUUUACUCUGCGAAAAUAAUAAAUUUAAGGUAUUAAAAAUUAA